rnacentral:rRNA from 1 species
UACAGAGGUCUCAAGCGUUGUUCAGAUUCAUUGGGCGUAAAGGGUGCGUAGGCGGCGCGGUAAGUCGGGUGUGAAAUCUCGGAGCUUAACUCCGAAACUGCAUUCGAUACUGCCGUGCUUGAGGACUGGAGAGGAGACUGGAAUUUACGGUGUAGCGGUGAAAUGCGUAGAUAUCGUAAGGAAGACCAGUGGCGAAGGCGGGUCUCUGGAAAGUUCCUGACGCUGAGGAGCGAAAGCGUGGGGAGCGAACAGG